rnacentral:rRNA from 1 species
UCUGGUUGAUCCUGCCAGUAGUCAUAUGCUUGUCUCAAAGAUUAAGCCAUGCAUGUCUAAGUAUAAAUAGUAUACAGUGAAACUGCGAAUGGCUCUUUAAAACAGUUAUAGUUUAUUUGAUAAUUGACAAUUACAUGGAUAACCGUGGUAAUUCUAGAGCUAAUACAUGCUUAAACGCCCGACUUAUAGAAGGGUGGUAUUUAUUAGACUGAAGCCAAUAUUCCUUGUGUCUAUUGCGGUGAUUCAUAAUAACUGAUCGAAUCUCUUUUUGAGAUAAAUCAUUCAAGUUUCUGCCCUAUCAGCUUUCGAUGGUAGUGUAUUGGACUACCAUGGCAGUAACGGGUAACGAAGAAUUAGGGUUCGAUUUCGGAGAGGGAGCAUGAGAAACGGCUACCACAUCUAAGGAAGGCAGCAGGCGCGUAAAUUGCCCAAUCCUGACUCAGGGAGGUAGUGACAAGAAAUAGCAAACCGGGAACCUCAUGGUUUCACGGUAUUGCAAUGAGAACAAUUUAAAACCCUUAGCGAGAAUCAAGUGGAGGACAAGUCUGGUGCCAGCACCCGCGGUAAUUCCAGCUCCACUAGCGUAUAUUAAAGUUGUUGCAGUUAAAAAGCUCGUAGUUGAACCUCUGUCUGGGGCUAGUUUUGGCUUUGGUCAGGCUAGUUCUAGGCAUCCGCCUACAAGACUUAGAGGGCAUUCAGUUGUUCACUAGGAGGAGUAGGCAUUUUACUUUGAAAAAAUUAGAGUGUUUAAGGCAGGCAAUCGCCCGCAUAUAUUAGCAUGGAAUAAUAGAAUAGGACACUUUUCCAUUUCGUUGGUUAUUGGAAUCGUGUAAUGAUUAAUAGGGACAGUUGUGGGCAUUUGUAUUUAAUUGUCAGAGGUGAAAUUCUUGGAUUUAUUAAAGACAAACUAACGCGAAAGCAUUUGCCAAGGAUGUUUUCAUUAAUCAAGAACGAAAGUUAGGGGAUCAAAGACGAUCAGAUACCGUCCUAGUCUUAACUAUAAACUAUUCCGACUCAAUGUUUGACUGGCUUAUAUAACCAGUUGAGCGUUGUAUGAGAAAUCAAAGUCUUUAGGUUCUGGGGGGAGUAUGGUUGCAAAGCUGAAACUUAAAGGAAUUGACGGAAGAGCACAACCAGGAGUGGAUUCUGCGGCUUAAUUUGACUCAACACGGGGAAACUUACCAGGUUAAAACAAUAGUGGGAUUGACAGUUUGAGAGCGCUUUCUUGAUUGGUUGGGUGGUGGUGCAUGGCCGUUCUUAGUUGGUGGAGUGAUUUGUCUGCUUAAUUGCGUUAGCGAAC